UCAGUGGAGCCGCUUGUCGCUCACCGCUUUUCGGUGUGAGGAAAGUCCGGGCAACCAGAGCAUCAUAUUCUCUAACGGGGAGCUAUCUGUGAAGGUAGAGUAGCAUGACAGAAAAUAACCGCCCGGUUUCUCGGGUAAGGGUGAAAAGGUGAGGUAAGAGCUCACCGGAAUUUGUAGCGAUGCAGAUUGCCGCAUGCCUUAUGAGUUGCAAGGCCAAAUAUAUCGGCGUUAUGAGGACUGCUCGUUCUCGCCGAGGGGUAGGCUGCUACGACCUGAUUUUGCUUCGGCUUUAUCGGGCGCCAGAUAAAUGACAAGCAUCUUGUGCAGGUUCUUUUUUGCGAUAACGGCACAGAUACAUAACCC
rnacentral:RNase_P_RNA from 1 species